rnacentral:lncRNA from 1 species
UCCUACGGCUGCCAUAGGUUCUCAGAAGGCGGCAAAACGCUGAAUCUUGGCUUUGCAGGCUCUGGCUGAAACAAAGUAGCGCGUUUGGGUAGUGGCUGGUUACAGUACUGUGAGACUCAGGCUCGUGCCCGCGUCGACCGAAAGGUUUGUUUUCUUUCCUCUGUUUAGCUAAAUGGACAUUCCCGGUCGGAAUAUUAUCGCUUUUUUACGAGAAAAAUGGCAUAAAAAUGGAUUUUAAACAGCGGUUGACAUGCUUCGAAGUACGGUAAUGGAAUAUUUAGAUUUUUUUUGUCACGAAUUGCACCAUGCGCACGACCCUUCUUUACCAUUCGGAUAGUGUCUGGGACGCACAAACAAAACGCCGCUAUUCGGAUAUAACGAUGGAUUAUUUUGGACCAAACCAACAUUUGUUAUUGAAGUAGCAGUCCUGGGAGUGCAUUCUGACGAAGACAACAAAAGAGCGGGAGAUCAACAAUGUCCUGGCUCAGGGACAUGUACUAGUCUGUGACGACCUAAAUUCCAGAACUGGACAAGAACCCGACACCCUCAGCACACAGGGGGACAAACACCUACCUGGAGAUGACGGCAUUCCCUCCCCCAUAUGCCCCUCUAGACACAACUACGACAGCAUAACCAACAAAAACGGGUCACAACUCCUGCAGCUCUGUCGGACGCUGGUUUUCCCGGUUUUGACCAUUCUGCCUACCCUGACCCUGAGCCUUCCUGCCGUUCUGUACCAUUGUCACACCACCCUGGAUUAUUGAUCUCUGCCUGCCCUGACCCCGAGAAUGCCUGCCGUUCGGUACCUUAUGGACUUAUCUGGAUUACUGACCUCUGCCUGCCCUUGACCUGUUGUUUUGCUUGCCCCCUAUUCUAGUAAUAAACUUUUGUUACUUCGACACUGUCUGCAUCUGGGUCUUCUCCUGAAACGUGAUAAUUUGGCCAUAAACAAAGAGUAGACAGUGGCAGAAUACCUGAACACUGUGGCUGACCCAACAUUAAGGAAAUCGUUGACUAUGUACAGACUCAGUGAGCAUAGCCUUGCUUUUGAGAAAGGCCACCGAAGGCAGACCUGGCUCUCAAGAGAAGACAGGCUAUAUGCACACUACCCACAAAAUGAGGUGGAAACUGAGCUGCACUUCCUAACCUCCUGCCAAAUGUAUGACCAUAUUAGAGACACAUAUUUCCCUCAGAUUACACAGACCCACAACAUUUUUUUUAAACAUCCAAUUAUGAUAAACUCCCAUAUCUAUUGGGUGAAAUACCACAGUGUGCAAUCACAGCAGCAAGAUUUGUGACCUGUUGCCACAAAAGGGAAACCAGUGAAGAACAAACACCAUUGUAAAUACAACAUACAUUUAUGUUUAUUUAUUUUCCCUUUUGUACUUUAACAAUUUGCACAUCAUUACAACACUGUAUUUAGACAUAAUGACAUGUCUUCAUUCUUUUGGAACUUUUGUGUGUAAUGUUUACUGUUAAUUUUAUAUUGUUUAUUUCACUUUUGUUUAUUAUCUAUUUCACUUGCUUUGGCAAUGUAAACAUAUGUUUCCUAUGCC